UCUGUGGAGGAGCAGCCGAGAAAUGAUAAGUAUCUUUUCUUAUAUUAAUCGCAUUGUAUAUUGUUUCGACUUUCGACUCGACGCGAUCGAUUCAAUCGAUUCGGACGGAGAGAAACGAAUUUCUAUUUUUUUCUCUUUCUUUUAGUCGAUUUAAUUUUUUCCCCGAAAAUUGUAUAUUUAUAUACACAAGUCAGAGAAGAAUCGAAGAAUCAUGUAUAACUUGCUCGACGAGUUAUUAUCGUUUUCGAACGUAUUUCGCACUCGAGUCGGGAGAAUGUUAUUAUAUGCGUAUAAUUUAUGUAUAUUGGAUUGGAUAGGAAAGUUAUGUCGGUUUUUGAUUUUGCUAAGAUAAACAGUUUCAAAUGUGUAGCACGCGUUAUAUAUUUAUAAUAAAUUCAUUUUAUCCGCGUGAAAUAUAUUCUAUUUCCCGUCUAAACUUAGAAAUCAAUGUAAACUAACAAUAAGCCGUUGUUGAACGCGGUUGAACGUAAAAUAUAUCUGUUUUCAGUGGCAUUUCAUAUGUAUUAUAUAUGAAUUUAAAUGCGAUAUAAAUGCUGUAUCGCUGCAAAAAAAAAUAUUUGCCGUUUGCUUUGAAAAGUGAACGUAUCGGUAAACGUUAACAACUCUCCUAAUCGAUAUAAUUUAAUCCUUUCGAGACGGAUUUUUCUUUUUCGCGAUGAACACAACGAUAAAGGAAUGUCUUGUCUCACAGCUUCACAGAUUUGAAAUAUAAAUGUAACUGAUCGAUAAUUUAAAAGUUUAUAUCAACUUAUCGGAUUAUUAUAAGGAUUUCGAACGUGAUACUAAAAUAUCUGAAACACUUUUGACGCGGAUUUUUCUAUUAGACAAUAAAUUGAGAAAAUUUCCGUAAUGGGAUUAAAAUUUCACUUCUGAUAAAAUAUUCUUGUCUCUUAUCGAUAAUAAAAAAAAAAAAAGAGAAAAACUAAAAUUCAUAUAAAAAUUAAUUUCAAACUGAACUUCUAUUAAUCUUUUAAAAGGGAUUAAGGGUUGCUUUAUAUAUACGUGAACAAUAAUAAAAAAUUGAUAAAAAAUCGACAUUUACAUUUCCACCAAUCCAAUACGAUACAAUACGAAAACGAACGAGACAAUUUUUCUAAUACAUAUAUUUUUUUCUCCUUUUUUCAGAUAAAUUCCUGAGGGACGAAAAUGGUGAACUUACCAGCUCCGCCAUCGGCGCUCGGACCUAGCAUAUUAUGUACUCGAUUGGCAUACAACACGAACGUCGGGACGCUGAAGAUCGCCUCCGCCAUCGUUUCCGGUCUCCAAGAUUUGAGCGGGCCACGUUCACGAAAGCGCAGAUUGUGGACCAGGCUCUGAUUGGUGUUCCAGCAUUUCUGCCACAUCGAUUGCAGCUGAUACUGGUAGCUGUCUGCUAGUUUACGCCCCCCGUGGAAAAGAGAAAACAGAAAAAGCCGAGCGUUAGUACGAGUCGUAUUAGUUGGAUCAAGGGAGAGAAGAUACGCGCGAAUAUAAAGAUCUGGGAUCGAAUUAACAACAGCAACGAUCAACUUUUCGAUUAUUUCCUCUUUUUCUUCUCUCUUUUCUUUCUUUUUUUUUUUUUUCCUCUCAUUUCAUAUAUUUCGUUUUCGUUAUUCGUGACUCAUCGGUUUCGUUAACGCGAUCGAUUCGAAUCGAUCGAUCGAAAAGUUGAUUCGCCGUGUUACGCGAGCGUGUAAACGGACGCGCGUCGAUUCGCGCGAACGAAUAUAUGCAAAUGAAUUGAAAGAAUCAAAUUGAAUCGAAUCGAAUCGUUUCGAAAGCGACGACGAUUCGAAUUCGACGAAAUCGAUACAAGCCAUACGACAAUAUAAAUAGGGUAAAUAAACCAGACGUAGGUAAGUCGAGCGAAGGUGCGAGUAUCGUGUACUUAGGUUCCUUUGUAGCUGGUUGGGGCGUAGCGUACCUGCGAACAAAGUAUUGAAAGGCAAGUUGCGGCGGGGAUAUGUGGGAGCGGGAAAUAAACACUACGUGUCGUGUAUACGUUAACGUAUCGAUUGUAUUAUCGUUGGCGUACAAUCGUUAUAUAGAAUAAAACAAAGAGGGAGAGAGAAGAAAAAAAAAAAGAGUGAAAGAAAAGAGAAAGAAAGAAGUUCUUAACGAAACAAGCUCGAUCGUUAAUAGAAAAUAUUUUGCUUAAACGUUACACGGUAAUCGCAGUCUCGCGCAACCGUUUGGCAUCUGCGCUUGCGCAUGCGCAACGCGAGCGAACGAACGCGAGUAUGAUACGACUCGAAUACCGGCUACGCCACGAACGGCUGGCCUCAAUUCGCAACGAUUAUUUAAUAGUUAACUUAUUGGGUUUAAUUGAGCAUCCUCCAAUUUGACGAUUAAUACAAUUAAUUGGAAAGAAACGCGCGCGUGCGCGUCGGUACACGCGUCGGUGCACGCGCACGCGUGUACGAUCGAAAUACCGAGUCGUCGGGCUUCUCGUUUUCAAACAGGAUUAACUGACGAUCGGACAACGACGAAUAAACGCUUAGUUCUUUCUUAUCGGAACAACUUGGUUACGCAACUUCCUAUCUCGUUCUUCCUACGCAAAAGUUAACGUUUCCGAAUCUCCGAGUCGGAGAUGCUCUCGCAGUGAAGAAAUAAUAUGAUCGCCAAUCGUGAAACGCGAUUACAUACAACUAGACAACAGCGCCACGAGAGAUGGAUUAUAAAUACAAUUAAGAGUUGAUAAAAGUUUCCCGAAAUAUUUUCGAGAGCUUAUUUUUCGCUACUGCGCUCGCAUUGAAAAUUAUUCGCGAAAAAUAAUCCUCCCGGAAUCGUCAAUAAUUUCAUUCUGAAAUUCCAUUCGCGUCUUAAUAACAGACUUUGCGUAUCUGACAUAUAUAUAUAUAUAUAUUUUUCCACGGCGCGAAACAUCAUUACGGAACGUAUUGUCGUGGCGUGCCACCACCACCAAUUCUCCACAUUAAAAUCUUUUGUCGGAAUCUCGUCAAGUGUGUCCUGAUAUUCGUGAAGUAUUCCACGAUGAUCGGACAAUAGGCCCGUGGUAUACAAUUACAAAAGUAAUCGAGAUCGAUUUAACGCGAUCUCCGUUCCAAUUAAAGGGAAACGACGCAUGAAUAUCAGUUUGAAAAUUACCGCGACGCGCGAGGGCGGCUAUCGUAUAUUUAUCAACCGAGCCAACGGGGUUGACCCGUGUUACGCGAUAAACGUUAAAAGGUUGUACCUCUCGUGUAACACGAGCGCUCGAAAGUGUCGUUUAUUCGCUAAUUGCAGAGAAUGCUUACGAAUGCAAUGUUUCACGUGUUUCAAACGUUUUUCAGACAAUAUCCGCGAUUUCUUUAAUUCGCGAGAGUUUCGAAAGGGAGUUUAGAAUGCGAAGGUGUACACCAAGUGGAUAAAAUUAUAAGACACUCGGAAAACGGUAUUACUCGUAAUUACAGAUCUAUAAAUCUCGAAAUAUUAUAAUGAAUUUCGAAUUUGAAAAAGAGAAAAGUACAAUUUCAAACUUGGACGAAAUUGUCAAAAUCGGUUUUUAAAAUUUUUUCUAAUAUCAUUCCAUUGCCCGUCUAUUGCUUCGUAUAUUAUUCCGCUAAAUCUUCAUUUCCUACGAUAUUAAAAUUCAAAGAUUCCCCGAUCUAAAAUUGGAAAAUUAUAUUUUUAGUAAUAAAAAGUCAUCGUGAUACGUAUAUUUUUUUUUUCCAAAUGUUAACGUCUUAUAAUUUUGUCCACUUUGUGUUUUCGGUUGUUUUCGGUGAGCGUAGAAUUUCGACGUUCUCGAGUUGCAUAUUUCUCAUAUUCUAGCGAUUUUUUUUUUUUUUUUUUUUGCAUACAAAAAUAUAGAGAGCAGCUAGGUGUCAUUCAACCAUUUAUUACGCAGCUAAUUUACUUCGCUAUUCACGUUGAAAUACCUUAGCUAAUGGAGAGUAUCGUUACUAAAUUCGAACGAUUUUCAACGGAAUAUAAACGUACACAUAUGUUCUCGAGUCUGUGCUCGAGCAAACUUGCUCGCUUCCACAACACCUUCGCGCUAUAAGCGAAUGUCAAGUUGUUAUAAAAGUUCCGUCGGACCAUAGUGUGUAACUAUACCAUCCGCAUCGGAAUUCAAAAUGUUUGCUUUGUAUUACGCUUUCUUAUUAGUACGUGUUCCAUUGCAAGAGUACGAAGUUAUGCUUAGCAAUGCUUGCACGAAAAAAAAAAAUUGUAUCAUUUCGUGGAAUAUGAAGGAAAUCAUUUUUAUUUUUAUUUUUUUAAUCUUUUUUCUUUAAAUUCCAAUAUAAAAUCUACACGAUAUGUGCCGUAUAUAAUCAUUCCGACUGGCCAAAAUCAUUUUUACGACAGCCCGUUCUCUCCGUUCUCUCAUCGUUCUCACAAAUGCAAAACAAAUGCUUUCGAACAAAUUUUGUCUUUUUUUUUUCUUUUUUCUUUUUUUCUUUUUUUUUUUUUUUUUUCAAAUGGAAUGUUACAACAAGAUCCAUCCACUCAAAUGUACAUAUUCGACUCUCUAAACGUGAGAGUGGGGAAUAAAUCGAAGAACAAUUAUGAUUGUACACUUUGAGAUUCACGUUGAUAUCACAUUCGAAUAAGAUACACGAUAUUAUAACAUUUGAUUGGUAGGAUUAAAAAGUUGAAACGCUUUUAUCGAUCUAUACCAUAUAUUCGUGACGACGAAGGCUCGAGUCGCGGCGACUAAAAAUAAAGAUCGAAUUUAUUAAACUACACGGAGUGGAAGACAUCGAGCAAAAGGCACUUGCUUAUAUCGCUGGAAUAAUCGUUAACCGCGAUAAGGCGCAAUAUAUUAUUAUUGCUUUAACUACAAUAUAAACGUUACCAUUAUCAUUAUUGCUACUACUUAUUACGAUGAUUAUGGUCCCGCUGCGAAUGAUGCACGCGACUUUGGACACGUUUCGGAAAAGAAAAAAAAUUUGGUCCGCGAACCAAAGGAUGGAAUGCGCGUGGAAUGUGAAAAAUAUCGAUCGAAAGGGGAAAUAAUACGCGAUAUCUAUCCCGUAAUCGAAAACAUUUUAACGUUUAAACGACGUUUGCAACAAUCAGUGUUUCGAACCUGUUGUAUUAUUUCCAUGGAGCGUAACCUCCGUGAAAAAGUUCAAGGAUCGUCGCGGACAAAAAAAAAGGCACAAAGAUUUACAAAGAGGCGAAUCAAUGACACGGAGACAGAUAGAUAGAUGGAUAGAAAUAGAGAGAGAGAAAGAGAGAGAGAGAGAGAGAGAGAGAGAGAGAGAGAGAGAGAGAGAGAGAGAGAGAGAGAGAAAGUGAGAGGUCACUGAUCGUUCUCGUUCUCGUCGUUGAAGUAAAGCGAGACUAUCGAGUGCUUUUUACAGAAAGCCCACCACCAACGGAAACCAGAGAGACCGUUAAAGACAAAAUUAGGAUCACGUUUUCGCCUCAACUUUUCGACAAAGUUGAGGAUCGCGUUCAAUGAUUUUUUCGUUCGCCGAUUAUACGGGCUGACGCUGAUGUCGCAGCAGAACUCGAGCACGGCCGUUUCCUCGCUCGAGUUCAACCCCGCCUCCUCGAGGACCAUCAUCCUCUUCGUCUUUCCGAGGAUGUUGUCGUACAAUGUGCCUUUCGGUAUCCCGUAUUUCGUGGAUGCCUGGGUGAAUCGCAUCUUCUGAGUAACCACAGCCUCGAUCGCUUCCUGGAGAUCGUGCCGCGUCCACGUGGGCGCCUUCAGCUUCAGCAGGGUUGAAUAGUCAGCUAGAAAAUAGUCAGGGAUUUCGUCUCGUUUUUUUCGUGAUACCCUGUGGCUGAUACCCGACCCAGAGAUCGACCGAUCUCUUGGAGGAGGUAGCUGGCCGACGGACACGAGAUACAGCGUUAUACGUUCUCGCCGCCUAGAUAUUACCGGAAAUACCAAACAUCCAAACUCCCCCCCCACCCCAACCCAUCCACGAUUAUUACUCUCCGGUCAUCCGGUAUCCCUUUGUCGUCUCCCUUUGCUCUGUUUGCGCACCAUUUCUCGCUCCUCUUUUUCGUUUUUUUUUCCUUUUCUUUUCGUUCGAAAAUUUCGUCGUCGAUCCCGAUCGAGAACGAAUUUAUCCGAUCCGCGAGCACAGCGAAAUCGAAACGGUAGGAAAAGAAAGGGUGACCGUGCGACAAAGCGGUGAAACGACGAGACCGCGGAAUCCACGAUAUAAAAGCGUUCUAUCAUUACCAGAGGAAGAUACCACGGUGAAGGAUCGGGGGGAAGAUUUUUAAUCGAAUCGAAGGAAGAAGAGGAAGAGAACUGAGAUGAAAUGACGUGGCCGCCAUCCGUGUGAAAUCACUAUAAGAUACUGUAAUGGCGAGCGUGUAAAACGUUCCAAAUAUCGUGCAGCAAAUAUCGUUUACGAACUAAAUGCCGCUAAGAAAGACGAGAAGCGCGUAAACGAGGAGAUUAGGUCGGGAUAAAUAAGGGGAGGGGGAAAAAAAUAGGGGAAGAAUCGAAAUGGGCGAUCGUUGGAAGCGGCAACCCGUCGAACCGAGUUUUGAUGCUUGUUUGAUUCUCGCUGUGUUUUGCGAGAAAAAGUAAAAAAGAGAAAUAGAAUAAAAUAAAAAAGGAAAGAUUCGAA